rnacentral:rRNA from 1 species
GACAGAGGCCCCAAGCGUUAGGCGGAAUCACUGGGCUUAAAGCGUGUGUAGGCGGAUCGUUAAGUGUCUUGUGAAAUCCCACGGCUCACCCGUGGAACUGCUGGGCAUACUGGCGAUCUUUGGGCCAACUAGGGGCAGUCGGAACAAGCGGUGGAGCGGUGAAAUGCGUAGAUAUCGCUUGGAACGCCGAAGGUGAAAACAGACUGCUGGGGUUGCGCCGACGCUGAGACACGAAAGCCAGGGGAGCAAACGGG